CAAUCUGCCUUUUGCCUUUUCGUUUUUUUUUUCCUGACGGUGGAGCCCACGUUUUAUCUCCAACCUUCAGCCAGAAGUCUAUGCACGACACGGAAACAAACUGGAAACAAGUUCCACAAAAAUCUCACCAAAGCUGUUGAAUUUGCCACGGAUUUUUGCGCCUAUAUAUACCCCCAUAUAUCCUCUGUAUAUUGACCCUAAAAUCCCCAAUUUUUGCGCCGCCAGGCUGCGCGAAUUUCUCAUCGGAGUUCGACGCCACCGCCGCCAUUGGAGCUCAUAACCGGAGGACACUAGGACGCGGAGAAAGCAUCGCCGAAGUUCAUCGCUGCCCGAGCCGCUCCAGCCGCCCGUCACCGCUGUUCGAGGAAGACGCAAAUACCUCCGAGCACGCCACCUUGACAGCCACGUCCAGCCGCACCUCGUUCACCAACUCGCCGCAGUCGUAAACCAUCCGAAGACGCCAAGAAGCAUCGCGUCCGAGCCGUCCUACCACCACCUCGGGUCGUCUGUGCCAUUAUCGUGCGGAGUGUAACACGAAGAGCGCGAACGCCAACGACAAAUAAGGCAAG